UUGCCUUGACUGAUCAGGACUCCUCAGUUCACCUUCCCACAAUGAGGUUCCCUGCUGAGCUCCUGGGGCUGCUAAUGCUCUGGGUCCCUGCCUCCAGUGGAGAUAUAGUGAUGACCCAGACUCCACUCUCCCUGCCUGUCACCCCUGGAGAGCCGGCGUCCAUCUCCUGCAGGUCUAGUCAGAGCCUCUUGGAUAGUUAUGGAUACACUAAUUUGAAUUGGUACCUGCAGAAGCCAGGCCAGUCUCCACAGCUCCUGAUCUAUUUGGGUUCCAACCGGGCCUCUGGAGUCCCAGACAGGUUCAGUGGCAGUGGAUCAGGCACUGAUUUCACCCUGAAAAUCAGCCGGGUGGAGGCUGAGGAUGUUGGGGUUUAUUACUGCAUGCAAGGUAUACAGCUUCCUCCCACAGUGCUACAUCCUCAAACAGAAACCUCCCUGCUGGGUUGGCCCAGCUGCCCACAUGGGCCGCUUGUCUUGGGGAGCAGCUGAGCAGAGUCUCUGAGUCCGCAGAAGAGAAGGCUGUUGGAGACGUCAGGGCGGCGUUUGCUGCUGAGGAUGCUGGUCCACGAGAGCCUCAGUAGCACCUCCGAUCCUACAUGUUAAGGCCCCACCAGCAACCACAGCCUGGGGAAGGCAUCAGGAGGAGGAGAACUCAUGGGGGCCACGUGCCCUGGGAGCAACCGGCUAUGAUGAAGGGAGAGUGAAUGAAAGCUCCCAUCCUCACCCUCCCCAUCUUGCCCACAUUUGUCAAGUUCAUGCAACUGUCAGAAUAACCAGACCAUGGAUGCAGUUGAGUGACAAUACCAGUAUGGUAAUACAUAUGGGAAAUGACCAUCUUGGGGUUUAUUUCACCCACAAUGACACUUAGUCAUACUGGGAAAUUCAUACUCUCCCAUCUUCCUAAUUCUUCUCUAUGACUCCCACUAAACCCUUCUCUCCAGUGUCUUACAGGUAAAAGCAUUCUACACAAGGGGAGUACAGCUAACGCUUAGAAAAAAUGUUUGAUGUUGGAUUAUUCAAACAGAUUUUGUAAACUCAUGGCAGGUAUGAGAUCUUAAUGUCAAAAGAUUGAUUACUCUUAAUCAAUAUUUACCAAGUGAAAACAGAGUUUUCACAAUUCCAAAAGUGGCCUUUGAAAAUAAACUGCAUAAACUCAAAGAUGGAAAAUAUAAAGUUUAUUUCAAGUGAAAAAAUGAACAUUCAGAAUUAUGUGAAAUU